rnacentral:rRNA from 1 species
CCUACGGGAGGCAGCAGUGAGGAAUAUUGGUCAAUGGACGAGAGUCUGAACCAGCCAAGUAGCGUGAAGGAUGACUGCCCUAUGGGUUGUAAACUUCUUUUAUAUGGGAAUAAAACGUUCCACGUGUGGGAUUUUGUAUGUACCAUAUGAAUAAGGAUCGGCUAACUCCGUGCCAGCAGCCGCGGUAAUACGGAGGAUCCGAGCGUUAUCCGGAUUUAUUGGGUUUAAAGGGAGCGUAGGUGGAUUGUUAAGUCAGUUGUGAAAGUUUGCGGCUCAACCGUAAAAUUGCAGUUGAAACUGGCAGUCUUGAGUACAGUAGAGGUGGGCGGAAUUCGUGGUGUAGCGGUGAAAUGCUUAGAUAUCACGAAGAACUCCGAUUGCGAAGGCAGUUCACUGGACUGCAACUGACACUGAGGCUCGAAAUUGUGGGUAUCAAACAGGAUUAGAUACCCCGGUAGUC